UUCAUGCAUACUCCGUCUCGAAUUACUUAUCUUCAAUUUGUCUAAAUAUGGAUGUAACUAGACACGUUUUAGUUUUAGAUACAUCUGUAUCAAGAAAAUCUUGGACAUGUAAUUUGGAACGGAGGUAAUAC
rnacentral:pre_miRNA from 1 species